rnacentral:misc_RNA from 1 species
CCGAGUUAGCAACUCCCAAACCCAAUGUGAACGUUACCAAACUGUUGCCUCGGCGGGAUCUCUGCCCCGGGUGCGUCGCAGCCCCGGACCAAGGCGCCCGCCGGAGGACCAACCAAAACUCUUAUUGUAUACCCCCUCGCGGGUUUUUUUACUAUCUGAGCCAUCUCGGCGGCCCCCUCGUGGGCGUUUCGAAAAUGAAUCA